CACCAGGUUGAUUCUGCCUGACGUAGACGCUAUUCUCUAAGAUUAACCCAUGCAUGUUUUUGACAUUUGAAAAAUGGACUGCUCAGUAAUACUCACUUUAUUUUAUGUAAAUUUUUAAUUAACUACGUUAAAGUGUAGAUAAGAUGUUUACAGUAAGAGUGAGACCUAUCAGCUAGUUGUUAAGGUAAUGGCUUAACAAGGCUGUGACGGGUAACGGUAUUACUUUGUAAUAUUCCGGAGAAGGAGCCUGAGAGACGGCUACUAAGUCUAAGGAUUGCAGCAGGGGCGAAACUUGACCUAUGGAUUUUAUCUGAGGCAGUUAUGGGAAGUAAUAUUAUAUUGUUUCAUAUUUUAAAAGUAUAUGAGGUGAUUAAUUGGAGGGCAAAUCAAGUGCCAGCAGCCGCGGUAAUACUUGUUCCAAGAGUGUGUAUGAUGAUUGAUGCAGUUAAAAAGUCCGUAGUUUAUUUUUUAAGAAGCAAUAUGAGGUGUACUGUAUAGUUGGGAGAAAGAUGAAAUGUGACGACCCUGACUGGACGAACAGAAGCGAAAGCU
rnacentral:rRNA from 1 species